rnacentral:pre_miRNA from 1 species
AGGGGAAUAGCUGGGUACAAUUGUGGUUCGAUUCCCAGCUUUCCAAGGAAUCUCCAUACUGCUUUCCAAAUUGGCUACACCAAUUUGCAGUCCCACUAGCAAU